UACCCGCGCCCCGAGUGGUGGUCGAUAUUAUUGAGCCUAAAACGUCCGUAGCCGGUCUUCUAAAUCCUUGGGUAAAUCGGGCAGCUUAACUGUCCGAAGUCCGGGGAGACUGGGAGACUUGGGACCGGGAGAGGUCAGAGGUACUUCUGGGGUAGGGGUAAAAUCCUGUAAUCCUGGAAGGACCACCGGUGGCGAAGGCGUCUGACUAGAACGGAUNCGACGGUGAGGGACGAAGCCCUGGGGCGCAAACGGGAUUAGAUACCCCGGUAGUCCAGGGUGUAAACGCUGCGGGCUUGGUGUUGGGGGUCCUUAGUGGGCGCCCAGUGCCGGAGAGAAGUUGUUAAGCCUGCUGCUUGGGGAGUAUGUCCGCAAGGAUGAAACUUAAAGGAAUUGGCGGGGGAGCACCGCAACGGGAGGAGCGUGCGGUUCAAUUGGAUUCAACGCCGAAAAACUCACCAGGAGCGACGGAUAUAUGAAGGUCAAGCUGAUGACUUUACCUGAUUUUCCGAGAGGUGGUGCAUGGCCGUCGUCAGUUCGUACCGUAAGGCGUUCUCUUAAGUGAGAUAACGAACGAGACCCUCACCAUUAAUUGCUAGUCCCUUCUCCGGAGGGGGCGCACAUUAAUGGGACCGCUGGCGCUAAGUCAGAGGAAGGAGAGGUCAACGGUAGGUCCGUAUGCCCCGAAUCCCCUGGGCAACACGCGCGCUACAAAGGGUGGGACAAUGGGCUUCGACACCGAAAGGUGAAGACAAUCCUGAAACCCAUCCAUAGUUCGGAUUGGGGGCUGUAACCCGCCCCCAUGAAGCUGGAUUCCGUAGUAAUCGCUUGUCAACAUCAAGCGGUGAAUAUGCCCCUGCUCCUUGCACACACCGCCCGUCAAACCACCCGAGUUGGGUUUCAGUAAGGAUGUCUCUAAUUGGGGCCUUCGAACUGAGAUUCAGCAAGGAGGGUU
rnacentral:rRNA from 1 species